rnacentral:rRNA from 1 species
UACGUAGGUGGCAAGCGUUGUCCGGAAUUACUGGGUGUAAAGGGCGUGUAGGCGGGAAUGCAAGUCAGAUGUGAAAUUCCGGGGCUCAACCCCGGCGCUGCAUCUGAAACUGUGUUUCUUGAGUGCUGGAGAGGAAAGCGGAAUUCCUAGUGUAGCGGUGAAAUGCGUAGAUAUUAGGAGGAACACCAGUGGCGAAGGCGGCUUUCUGGACAGUAACUGACGCUGAGGCGCGAAAGCGUGGGGAGCAAACAGG